rnacentral:lncRNA from 1 species
UAUAUUAUUUCAGGUACGAUUGAAAAACUUUUGAGAUUAAAUAUUACUAUCCACUGUUUAUAUCUAAAAAACCACGCGAUUCAUAUUUAGAGAGAGAAAAUAAGUGGAAUAGGGAGAGAAAGAAAGAGCAGUACCAAAAACAGGCAAAGACGUUACAAACUUAGGGUUUGAGUUGUUUGGAGAUACAGUAAAUCUCUUUACUAGUAUUUCUUUGUUCUUAUAAGUAUAUUUAUUAUUCUA